UACGUAGGGCGCAAGCGUUGUCCGGAAUUAUUGGGCGUAAAGAGCUCGUAGGCGGCCUGUUGCGUCCGCUGUGAAAUCCCGGGGCUCAACCCCGGGCCUGCAGUGGAUACGGGCUGGCUAGAGGCAGGCAGGGGAGAACGGAAUUCCUGGUGUAGCGGUGAAAUGCGCAGAUAUCAGGAGGAACACCGAUGGCGAAGGCGGGACUCUGGGCCGAUACUGACGCUGAGGAGCGAAAGCGUGGGGAGCAAACAGG
rnacentral:rRNA from 1 species